rnacentral:rRNA from 1 species
GUCCACGCUGUAAACGAUGAGCACUAGGUGUCGUGGGUAUUGACCCCGCGGUGCCGCAGCUAACGCAUUAAGUGCUCCGCCUGGGGACUACGGCCGCAAGGUUAAAACUCAAAGGAAUUGACGGGGGCCCGCACAAGCGGUGGAGCAUGUGGUUCAAUUCGACGCAACGCGAAGAACCUUACCUGGGCUAGACAACGGAGGACAGCCCCAGAGAUGGGGUCUCCCUUCGGGGACUUCCGGUUCAGGUGCUGCAUGGCUGUCGU